GAUGAAGAACGUAGCGAAAUGCGAUACUUGGUGUGAAUUGCAGAAUCCCGUGAACCAUCGAGUCUUUGAACGCAAGUUGCGCCUCAAGCCAUUAGGUUGAGGGCACGUCUGCCUGGGCGUCACAUAUCGUUGCCUGAUGCCAGUUUCCUCGUGAUGGGUGACUGUGCAGGGCGAAUGAUGGCUUCCCGUGAGCAUUGUUGCCUCAUGGUUGGUUGAAAAUUGAGUCCUUGGUAGGGAGCGCCGUGAUAGAUGGUGGUUGAGUGACGAACGAGACCCAAUCAUGUGAGACCCCUACCGAAUUUGGCCUUCAUGACCCACAUGCGUCUUUGGAACGCUCAUGACGAGACCUCAGGUCAGGCGGGGCUACCCGCUGAGUUUAAGCAUAACAAUAAGCGGAGGA
rnacentral:misc_RNA from 1 species